CCCACGGGUGGCUGCAGUGGGGAAUAUUGGACAAUGGGGGGAACCCUGAUCCAGCCAUGCCGCGUGUGUGAAGAAGGCCCUCGGGUUGUAAAGCACUUUCAGUGAGGAAGAACGCCUGGUGGUUAAUACCCAUCAGGAAAGACAUCACUCACAGAAGAAGCACCGGCUAACUCCGUGCCAGCAGCCGCGGUAAUACGGAGGGUGCGAGCGUUAAUCGGAAUUACUGGGCGUAAAGCGCGCGUAGGUGGCUUGAUAAGCCGGUUGUGAAAGCCCCGGGCUCAACCUGGGAACGGCAUCCGGAACUGUCAAGCUAGAGUGCAGGAGAGGAAGGUAGAAUUCCCGGUGUAGCGGUGAAAUGCGUAGAGAUCGGGAGGAAUACCAGUGGCGAAGGCGGCCUUCUGGACUGACACUGACACUGAGGUGCGAAAGCGUGGGUAGCAAACAGGAUUAGAUACCCGUGUAGUC
rnacentral:rRNA from 1 species